UAUAUAUCCAGAGUGCAGCGAGGGAACUAGCCCUAUGACCUGCCGGCAACCUGCUAUAAAAAGUAAGGUGCUAAUUCUAGCCCCAUAAGGGGAAAGAUAAAGG
rnacentral:ncRNA from 2 species